AUUGAACGCUGGCGGCAGGCUUAACACAAGCAAGUCGAGCGGGGAAGGGUAGCUUGCUACCUAACUUAGCGGCGGACGGGUGAGUAAUGCUUAGGAAUCUGCCUAUUAGUGGGGGACAACAUUCCGAAAGGAAUGCUAAUACCGCAUACGCCCUACGGGGGAAAGCAGGGGAUCUUCGGACCUUGCGAUAAUAGAUGAGCCUAAGUCAGAUUAGCUAGUUGGUGGGGUAAAGGCCUACCAAGGCGACGAUCUGUAGCGGGUCUGAGAGGAUGGUCCGCCACACUGGGAUUGAGACACGGCCCAGUCUCCUACGGGAGGCAGCAGUGGGGAAUAUUGGACAAUGGGCGGAAGCCUGAUCCAGCCAUGCCGCGUGUGUGAAGAGGGCCUUUUGGUUGUAAAGCACUUUAAGCGAGGAGGAGGCUACCGAGAUUAAUACUCUUGGAUAGUGGACGUUACUCGCAGAAUAAGCACCGGCUAACUCUGUGCCAGCCGCCGCAGUAAGAC
rnacentral:rRNA from 1 species